rnacentral:rRNA from 1 species
AGUGAACGCUGGCGGUAUGCCUAACACAUGCAAGUCGAACGGCAGCACAGUAAGAGUUUGCUCUUAUGGGUGGCGAGUGGCGGACGGGUGACGAAUACAUCCGAAUCUACUUUUUCGUGGGGGAUAACGAAGGGAAACCUACUCCAAUACCGCAUACGACCUUCGGGUGAAAGCAGGGGAUCUUCGCACCUUGCGCGAUUGAAUGCGCCGAUGUCGGAUUAGCUGGUUGGCGGGGUAAAGGCCCACCAAGGCGGCGAUCCGUAGCUGGUGUGGGAGGAUGGUAGGCCACCCGGGAAGGGGGACACCGUCCAGACUCCUGCGGGACGGAGCAGUCGGGAAUGUGGGACAGUGGGGGCAAAUCUGAUACAACGAUAGCGAGUGGGUGAAGAAGGCGUUCGGGUUGUAAAGCCCUCUUUUUGGGAAAGAACAGCAGUAGGCUGAGACGCCGCUGUACUGACGGUACCCGGUGAAUAAGCACCGGCUAACUUCGUG